AACGAACGCUGGCGGCAUGCCUAACACAUGCAAGUCGAACGAGACCUUCGGGUCUAGUGGCGCACGGGUGCGUAACGCGUGGGAAUCUGCCCUUCGGUUGGGAAUAACUGAGAGAAAUUUCAGCUAAUACCUUAUAAUGUCUUCGGACCAAAGAUUUAUCGCCGAGGGAUGAGCCCGCGUAGGAUUAGGUAGUUGGUGGGGUAAUGGCCUACCAAGCCGACGAUCCUUAGCUGGUCUGAGAGGAUGAUCAGCCACACUGGGACUGAGACACGGCCCAGACUCCUACGGGAAGCAGCAGUGGGGAAUAUUGGACAAUGGGCGAAAGCCUGAUCCAGCAAUGCCGCGUGAGUGAUGAAGGCCUUAGGGUUGUAAAGCUCUUUUACCCGGGAUGAUAAUGACAGUACCGGGAGAAUAAGCGCCGGCUAACUCCGUG
rnacentral:rRNA from 1 species